rnacentral:rRNA from 1 species
GACGAACGCUGGCGGCGUGCUUAACACAUGCAAGUCGAACGAUGAAGCUAGAGCUUGCUCUGGUGAAUUAGUGGCGAACGGGUGAGUAACACGCGAGUAACCUGCCCCGAACUCUGGGAUAACUGCUGGAAACGGUAGCUAAUACUGGAUACGACCUACGAAGGCAUCUUCUGUAGGUGGAAAGAAUUUCGGUUCGGGAUGGACUCGCGGCCUAUCAGCUUGUUGGUGAGGUAAUGGCUCACCAAGGCGACGACGGGUAGCCGGCCUGAGAGGGUGACCGGCCACACUGGGACUGAGACACGGCCCAGACUCCUACGGGAGGCAGCAGUGGGGAAUAUUGCACAAUGGGCGCAAGCCUGAUGCAGCAACGCCGCGUGAGGGAUGACGGCCUUCGGGUUGUAAACCUCUUUCAGCAGGGAAGAAGCGAAAGUGACGGUACCUGCAGAAGAAGCACCGGCUAACUACGUGCCAGCAGCCGCCGCAG